AGUUAGGAGAAGGUGUCCUGAUGUUCUCAAUCAAAUGAGUGGCUAGGCCCAUACGCCUGGGGCUAGAGGCCCAACCCCACCAGUAAACCUCAGAGUCUAUUAACAGCCUCUCUGCCGGGUGUGAAGGACUUUCCCCCACCACGGUGGUGUCUGGUCCGUACCUCCGCCCGGGUGAGGAUGUAGGCACCUCGGCUCUGCUGAUGACCAGUUCAAGCCAACAGGGACCCCUGUCUCCAGCCACCCUCACAGACAUGUCAGCCGUGGAGUAGGGUGGACGCUUUCUCUCAUCUUCUCAGGGUUUCAGGAUUUUUUUUUCUUUCUUUUUUUCUUUUUUUUUUUCUUGGUUUUUGGUUUUUGUUUUGUGGCUGAACACUCAUAAGCAAAGAGGACAUCAUGGGGGACCAGCAACUGUACAAGACCAAUCACGUGGGCCACGGUGGUGAGAACCUCUUCUAUCAACAGCCACCCCUUGGUGUCCACAGUGGGCUGGGCCACAGCUAUGGGAAUACAAUCUCCGGGGCUGGGAUGGACGCCCCGCAGGCCUCACCCAUCUCGCCUCACUUCCCUCAAGAUACUCGGGAUGGUCUCGGCUUGCCUAUUGGCUCCAAAAACCUUGGCCAGAUGGAUACCUCCAGGCAGGGAGGAUGGGGAAGCCAUGCAGGGCCUGGGAACCACGUCCAGCUUCGUAGCAACUUGGCCAACUCAAACAUGAUGUGGGGGGCGCCCACCCAGGUGGAGCCCGCUGAUGGCUAUCAAUACACUUAUUCCCAGGCCAGCGAGAUCCGGACCCAGAAACUCACCAGUGGUGUUUUGCACAAGCUGGACUCUUUCACCCAGGUAUUUGCCAACCAAAACCUGCGGAUUCAGGUCAACAAUAUGGCCCAGGUGCUGCACACCCAAUCAGCAGUGAUGGAUGGAGCCUCUGACAGUGCCCUCCGUCAACUGCUGUCUCAGAAGCCUGUGGAGCCCUCAGCAUCAGCUAUAGCUUCCCGCUACCAGCAGGUGCCCCAGCAGCCUCACCCUGGCUUCACGGGUGGACUGCCCAAACCAGCCCUUCCAGUCGGGCAGCACGCUCCCCAAGGGCACCUGUAUUAUGACUACCAGCAGCCCCUGGCCCAGAUGUCCAUGCAAGGAGGACAGCCACUGCAAGCCCCUCAGGUGCUGUCCGGCCAUAUGCAACAAUUGCAGCAGCACCAGUAUUACCCACAGCCGCCGCCUCAGCAGCAGCAAGCCGGACUGCAGCGGAUCUCUGUGCAGGAGAUGCAGCAGCAGCAGCAGCCGCCGCCGCAGCAAAUUCGCCCCUCACCACCUCAGCAGCAGCAGCAGCUCCAGCUGCAGCAGCGGCAGAGUUCACUGCAGAUACCUCAGUAUUAUCAGCCCCAACCCAUGAUGCAACACUUGCAAGAGCAGCAGCAGCCAUCCAUGCACCUGCAGCCACCCUCAUACCACAGGGACCCUCAUCAGUAUACCCCGGAGCAGGCACACGCUGUCCAGCUGAUCCAGCUGGGCUCUAUGCCUCAGUAUUACUAUCAGGAGCCUCAACAGGCCUAUAGCCACCCCCUCUACCCGCAGAGCCACCUGUCCCAGCACCAGCAGCGUGAAGACAGUCAGCUGAAGACAUAUUCUAGUGACAGACAGACCCCGGCUAUUCUGAGCUCCCAUGGGGACAUGGGGCCUUCUGAUACAGGAGUGGCGGAUCCGGCCAGCUCAGAAAUGACUCGGGUCACUAGUACUUUCCCUCACCAACCGCUCCUGUCCCCCAGUGGGGUCCACCUCAACAACAUGGGGUCUCAGCAGCAGCAGCCGUCUCCCAGUGCGAUGUGGCCCCAGAUGCACUUACCUGAUGGGAGAGCCCAGUCUGGAUCCCCGGAAUCAAGCGGCCAAACCAAAGGAGUGUUUGGGGAACAGUUUGAUGCCAAGAACAAGCUAACAUGCUCCAUCUGCCUGAAGGAGUUCAAAAGCCUGCCCGCCCUGAACGGCCACAUGCGGUCCCACGGGGGAAUGAGGGCAUCCCCCAGCCUCAAACAGGAGGAAGGAGAGAAGGCCCCACCGCCUCAGCCUCAGCCUCAGCCCCAGCCUCAGCCGCCACUGCCACCUCCGCCUCCUCCGCCGCCGCCACCGCAGCUCCCUCCUGAGGCAGAGCGCCUCACGCCUAUGGUCAUGCCCGUGUCUGUCCCUGUCAAGCUAAUCCCACCCAAGCCCAGCUCUCAGGGGUUCACCAACAGCGUCGCUGCCACCCCCACGGCCAGAGACAAGCCAGCCAGCUCGAUGUCGGACGACGAGAUGCCUGUGCUCGAAAUCCCCCGGAAACAUCCACCCAUCGCCGCCAAAGUUGAGGAGCCCCUCAAGACCCUACCAGAGAAGAAGAAGUUCCGGCACCGGCCUGAGCCCCUCUUCAUCCCACCACCGCCUUCUUCCUAUACUCCCAACCCCACCUCUUACUCGGGGGCCACCCUGUACCAGAGCCAGCUACGCUCCCCGCGAAUCCUCGGGGACCACCUGCUCCUGGACCCCGCCCACGAACUGCCCCCCUACACGCCGCCACCCAUGCUGAGCCCCGUGCGCCAGGGCUCAGGGCUCUUCAGCAAUGUCCUCAUCUCUGGCCACGGCCCUGGAGUGCACCCCCAGCUGCCCCUCACUCCCCUCACGCCCACGCCACGCGUGCUGCUGUGCCGUUCCAGCAGCAUUGAUGGCAGCAAUGUGACAGUCACCCCAGGACCUGGAGAGCAGACUGUGGAUGUUGAACCACGCAUCAACAUUGGCUUAAGGUUCCAAGCAGAGAUCCCAGAACUGCAAGACGUCUCCGCCCUGGCUCAGGACACACACAGGGCCACACUGGUAUGGAAGCCGUGGCCUGAGCUGGAAAACCAGGCCCUCCAGCAGCAAGUGGAGAAUCUUCUGAAUUUGUGUUGUUCCAGUGCGCUGCCAGGUGGAGGGACCAACUCGGAACUGGCUUUGCACUCUCUCUUUGAGGCCAAAGGUGACGUGAUGGCUACCCUGGAAAUGCUGCUGCUGCGGAAGCCAGUCAGGUUAAAAUGUCAUCCUUUAGCAAAUUACCACUACGCCGGUUCUGACAAGUGGACAUCCCUAGAAAGAAAACUGUUUAAUAAAGCAUUGGCCACCUACAGCAAAGACUUUAUUUUUGUACAGAAGAUGGUGAAGUCCAAGACAGUGGCUCAGUGCGUGGAGUACUACUACACUUGGAAGAAGAUAAUGCGACUAGGCCGGAAACACCGGACACGCCUGGCGGAAAUCAUUGACGACUGCAUGACCAGCGAAGAGGAAGAGGAGGCCGAGGAGGAAGAAGAAGACCCAGAAGAAGAUAGGAAAUCCAUAAAAGAAGAGGAGAGUGAAGUGCCCAAGUCUCCAGAGCCACCGCCCACCACUGCCCUGGCUCCCACGGAGGGGCCACCCAUGCAGGCUGUUGGCCAACAACCAUCAGGCAAUUUCAUUUGUGAAAUGCCCAACUGUGGGGCUGACUGUAGAUGUCAUGUCGCUCCCUUUCUUCCUCAGGUGUUCAGCUCCCGACAGGCACUGAACGGUCACGCCCGCAUCCACGGCGGCACCAACCAGGUGGCUAAGACCCGAGGUGCCGUCCCCUCUGGGAAGCAGAAGCCGGGUGGCACCCAGAGUGGGUACUGCUCCGUGAAGAGUUCACCAUCUCACAGUACCACCAGUGGAGAGACGGACCCCGCCACCAUCUUCCCCUGCAAGGAGUGCGGCAAGGUCUUCUUUAAGAUCAAAAGCCGGAAUGCGCACAUGAAAACCCACCGGCAGCAAGAGGAGCAGCAGAGGCAGAAGGCUCAGAAGGCAGCCUUCGCAGCAGAAAUGGCAGCCACCAUCGAGAGGACUACGGGGCCGGUGGGGGCGCCCGAGCUGCUGCCCCUGGACCAACUGAGUCUGAUGAAGCCAGUCAAGGAUGUGGACAUCCUGGAUGACGAUGUGGUCCAGCAGUUAGGCGUCAUGGACGAGGCCGAGGUGGUAGGCACGGAUCUUCUUUUGGACGACCAAGAUUCGGUUUUGCUUCAGGGUGAUACAGAACUCUAAAGCCUCCCGUUCAUCACCUAGAGACACAGAAGCCACGGCCUCCACCUCUGUCGCCCCUAGAACCUGGACUUCCUGCUCCUUUGGAAACCCUUUUAAACUACCUGUUUAAAAAGCGGUCCUUUUCUUCAGGUUAAGGGAGGGGGAAAAAUCCACUUCUUUCUCUUUUACCUUCUUUUACAUUGUUUUUGUUGGGGGUUGGGGGGAAUAAAAAAAAUUGGCACAACUAUCUUUAA
ensembl:processed_transcript transcriptional regulating factor 1